rnacentral:rRNA from 1 species
GAUGAACGCUGGCGGCGUGCCUAAUACAUGCAAGUCGAGCGAACAGACGAGGAGCUUGCUCCUCUGACGUUAGCGGCGGACGGGUGAGUAACACGUGGAUAACCUACCUAUAAGACUGGGAUAACUUCGGGAAACCGGAGCUAAUACCGGAUAAUAUAUUGAACCGCAUGGUUCAAUAGUGAAAGACGGUUUUGCUGUCACUUAUAGAUGGAUCCGCGCCGCAUUAGCUAGUUGGUAAGGUAACGGCUUACCAAGGCAACGAUGCGUAGCCGACCUGAGAGGGUGAUAGGCCACACUGGAACUGAGACACGGUCCAGACUCCUACGGGAGGCAGCAGUAGGGAACCUGCCGCAAUGGGCGAAAGCUUGACGGAGCAACGCCGCGUGAGUGAUGAAGGUCUUCGGAGCGGAAAACUCUGUUAUUAGGGAAGAACAAAUGUGUAAGGAACUAUGCACGGCUUGACGGUACCUAAUCAGAAAGCCACGGCUAACUACGUG